rnacentral:rRNA from 1 species
CCUACGGGAGGCAGCAGUGAGGAAUAUUGGUCAAUGGGCGGGAGCCUGAACCAGCCAAGCCGCGUGCGGGAAGAAGGUUCAGCGUGUUGUAAACCUCUUUUGUACGGGGAUAAAGGCGGGGACUCGUACCCGGCUGAGGGUACCUGAAGAAAAAGCAUCGGCUAACUCCGUGCCAGCAGCCGCGGUAAUACGGAGGAUGCGAGCGUUAUCCGGAUUUAUUGGGUUUAAGGGGUGCGCAGGCGGCCGGUUAAGUCAGCGGUAAAAGCCCGGGGCACAACCCCGGCUAGCCGUUGAAACUGGUCGGCUAGAGUUUGAUUGAGGUAGGCGGAAUGUGCGGUGUAGCGGUGAAAUGCUUAGAGAUCACGCAGAACCCCGAUUGCGAAGGCAGCGUACC